UACGAAGGGGGCUAGUGUUGCUCGGAAUCACUGGGCGUAAAGGGUGCGUAGGCAAGUCUUUAAGUCAGGGGUGAAAUCCUGGAGCUCAACUCCAGAACUGCCUUUGAUACUGAGGAUCUUGAGUUCGGGAGAGGUGAGUGGAACUGCGAGUGUAGAGGUGAAAUUCGUAGAUAUUCGCAAGAACACCAGUGGCGAAGGCGGCUCACUGGCCCGAUACUGACGCUGAGGCACGAAAGCGUGGGGAGCAAACAGG
rnacentral:rRNA from 1 species